CCUACGGGUGACAGCAGUGGGGAAUAUUGGGCAAUGGAGGAAACUCUGACCCAGCAACGCCGCGUGAAGGAUGAAGGUUUUCGGAUUGUAAACUUCUGUCGCGAGGGAUGAAGAAUGACGUUACCUCGUAAGAAAGCCCCGGCAAACUCCGUGCCAGCAGCCGCGGUAAUACGGAGGAUUCGAGCGUUAUCCGGAUUUAUUGGGUUUAAAGGGUGCGUAGGCUGUUGGAUAAGUUAGAGGUCAAAUGUCGGGGCUUAACCCCGUGCCUGCCUCUGAUACUGUUCGACUAGAGAGCGGAUGCAGCAGGCGGAAUGAGUAGUGUAGCGGUGAAAUGCUUAGAUAUUACUCAGAACACCGAUUGCGAAGGCAGCUUGCUAAGCCGCAUCUGACGCUGAUGCACGAAAGCGUGGGUAGCGAACAGGAUUAGAUACCCUGGUAGUC
rnacentral:rRNA from 1 species